AACGCUGGCGGCAGGCCUAACACAUGCAAGUCGAGCGGAUGACGGGAGCUUGCUCCUUGAUUCAGCGGCGGACGGGUGAGUAAUGCCUAGGAAUCUGCCUGGUAGUGGGGGACAACGUUUCGAAAGGAACGCUAAUACCGCAUACGUCCUACGGGAGAAAGCAGGGGACCUUCGGGCCUUGCGCUAUCAGAUGAGCCUAGGUCGGAUUAGCUUUUUUGGUGAGGUAAUGGCUCACCAAGGCGACGAUCCGUAACUGGUCUGAGAGGAUGAUCAGUCACACUGGAACUGAGACACGGUCCAGACUCCUACGGGAGGCAGCAGUGGGGAAUAUUGGACAAUGGGCGAAAGCUGAUCCAGCCAUGCCGCGUGUGUGAAGAAGGUCUUCGGAUUGUAAAGCACUUUAAGUUGGGAGGAAGGGUUGUAGAUUAAUACUCUGCAAUUUUGACGUUACCGACAGAAUAAGCACCGGCUAACUCUGUGCCAGCAGCCGCGGUAAUACAGAGGGUGCAAGCGUUAAUCGGAAUUACUGGCCGUAAAGCGCGCGUAGGUGGUUUGUUAAGUUGGAUGUGAAAGCCCCGGGCUCAACCUGGGAACUGCAUCCAAAACUGGCAAGCUAGAGUACGGUAGAGGGUGGUGGAAUUUCCUGUGUAGCGGUGAAAUGCGUAGAUAUAGGAAGGAACACCAGUGGCGAAGGCGACCACCUGGACUGAUACUGACACUGAGGUGCGAAAGCGUGGGGAGCAAACAGGAUUAGAUACCCUGGUAGUCCACGCCGUAAACGAUGUCAACUAGCCGUUGGAAUCCUUGAGAUUUUAGUGGCGCAGCUAACGCAUUAAGUUGACCGCCUGGGGAGUACGGCCGCAAGGUUAAAACUCAAAUGAAUUGACGGGGGCCCGCACAAGCGGUGGAGCAUGUGGUUUAAUUCGAAGCAACGCGAAGAACCUUACCAGGCCUUGACAUUGCAGAGAUCUUUCCAUGAGAUGGAUUGGUGCCUUCGGGAACUCUGACACAUGGUGCUGCAUGGCUGUCGCUCAGCUCGUGUCGUGAGAUGUUGGGUUAAGUCCCGUAACGAGCGCAACCCUUGUCCUUAGUUACCAGCACGUUAUGGUGGGCACUCUAAGGAGACUGCCGGUGACAAACCGGAGGAAGGUGGGGAUGACGUCAAGUCAUCUAUGGCGCUUACGGCCUGGGCUACACACGUGCUACAAUGGUCGGUACAGAGGGUUGCCAAGCCGCGAGGUGGAGCUAAUCUCACAAAACCGAUCGUAGUCCGGAUCGCAGUCUGCAACUCGACUGCGUGAAGUCGGAAUCGCUAGUAAUCGCGAAUCAGAAUGUCGCGGUGAAUACGUUCCCGGGCCUUGUACACACCGCCCGUCACACCAUGGGAGUGGGUUGCACCAGAAGUAGCUAGUCUAAACUUCGGGGGGACGGUUACCACGGUGUGAUUCAUGACUGGG
rnacentral:rRNA from 1 species